rnacentral:rRNA from 3 species
GUAGGUGAACCUGCAGAUGGAUCAUUUC